rnacentral:rRNA from 1 species
AUUGAACGCUGGCGGCAUGCUUUACACAUGCAAGUCGAACGGCAGCGCGGGCUUCGGCCUGGCGGCGAGUGGCGAACGGGUGAGUAAUGCAUCGGAACGUGCCCAGUAGUGGGGGAUAGCCCGGCGAAGGCCGGAUUAAUACCGCAUACGACCUGAGGGUGAAAGCGGGGGACCGAAAGGCCUCGCGCUAUUGGAGCGGCCGAUGUCGGAUUAGCUAGUUGGUGGGGUAAAGGCUUACCAAGGCGACGAUCCGUAGCUGGUCUGAGAGGACGACCAGCCACACUGGGACUGAGACACGGCCCAGUCUCCUACGGGAGGCAGCAGUGGGGAAUUUUGGACAAUGGGGGCAACCCUGAUCCAGCCAUGCCGCGUGCGGGAAGAAGGCCUUCGGGUUGUAAACCGCUUUUGUUCGGGAAGAAAUCCUCUGGGCUAAUACCCCGGGGGGAUGACGGUACCGGAAGAAUAAGCACCGGCUAACUACGUG